AGAGAGGAGGAAGAGAAUGGACAAUUUACAACAAUAUGCACAGACAACAAGAAGAAGAAGAAGAAGAAGAAGAGCAAGAAGAUGAGGAGGAGGAAGAGAAUGGAAGAGAAGGAGCAGCACACACUAUUGACACUAGGAACUGAAGGAGAUGAGGAGGGACAGAGCGGUGAGUGUUAACUAAUUCUUCUCUUAUUCCUACAUUAAUUUCCUUUCUAUUGGUGUUUCUUUUCUUCUCUCCAUCCUGUUAGCUCCCACCAUGGAGGCUUAAUGUGUUGAAAUGGUUCCAGCGUAGCUAUCAGUAAACAACACCGUCACAAUGGAUAAGACACGGCCCGAAGCAUGACCUCUCACCCGGGUAACCACCAGGUUUUGACAGCACGAGAAUGACAGGUUGAUGUCAAGGCAGUGAAUGGCAUCAUGUCCACUCCACCAACUAUACCUCCACAGCACACACACCCUUGCCACCUUGUUUGCCGCAGGUAUGGCCUGAUUAGGGCUGGUGGCCUAGAGACAGAUAUUUCAUUAUUAAGGCAGAGGAGGGAAAGGGGGAGUAUACAUAGGAAUACAUAGGAAGAACAGACACCUGCUGGACUAUGGCGGGAGGAGGGAGUGAGAGCAGAAGGAAAAACAGGUCAUCUCCCAUAGCUCCCUUCUUUCCCUUCCUUCCCAUGGGUGGGGGAGUGGCACACUGAUAGGCUACUUUGUCAUUAUGUCAUAAGUAUUCAAGCUAUUUUUCUUUCUUUAGUAAUACAAUCAUCCCUCAAAUAGCACAGUUUCCAAUAGUUCGGAUUUGGUUUUAUGUGGAUUUUCUAAGAAGAUUUUUAAGGAGCAGGAAAUUUUAAAAUCCUAAAAGAUCUUCCACGACAAUCCAUAUAAAACUGAAACCAAACUAUUGGAAACUGUACUAUUUGAGGGACGACUGUAGUGAUUUUUUUUCCCCAGCCCUCACACCUUAUAUCAGUCCCAGAGCUGGCAGUUUUCUUUUGUAAUAGCCUACAUAGACAAGCUCAGGAGAGAGGGACUUGUACCAAACAGAUCAUACUCUAUGUCUUUUCAAAUGCCUGUGUUGUCUCAUUUAUGUAAAGCCUGUGUCAAUGAAAGAAUGGUAUGGCAUGAGUAUCACAGUGUUAGCCUACCAGCAUCAACACCCACGUGAUCUAAUAUGGAGCAGUGGGUAGAAGGCCUCACACAGCUGUUCAUCCUUCCUGUGUAGAUGGUUGAUGAACAGUUGUACCUGGGGAAGGUAAACUGAGGCAAUUCUGGCCUUCCUAUCGGCCCAUAUCCCAGUGUUCAAACCUAACACAGGCCCAGAGAUGAUGAGCGGAUUUACGUGCACU